rnacentral:ribozyme from 2 species
ACCCGAACUGUGCCUUUGGCGGUCUCAAGCCCGCAUGCGAAAACAGGAGAGGGGU